GAGCCAGCCUGGCCCAGUGGUGUGAGCCUUGGCCUGGGACUCUAGAGACCAGGGUUCGAUUCCCAGCUGGGCCA